rnacentral:rRNA from 1 species
AUUCGCAAUUCGGGGGAGCCCGUGGCCUCCAAUCCGCCCCGAUUCCUGCGCCUCCUCCAGCCGAUCCGCAUGGAUCAAUGGAGUUUUCAUAGCUCUCAAGGUUAAGAUCAACAGUACUGUGCAGUGAACUCUUGUUCAUUUCUUGGUCCUGGGCUUCUUCAUUCUUGCUCAAGUCCAGCUGUCUGUUGAUCCAAUUCAAAGGUGGAGAUGAGUGUGGAGUACAAUAUGGAUGAAGCUUUGAAAGCACGAAAUACUGCAGAGAGCAAGUUUCAUGCGCGUGACCUCAGGGGCGCACGCAAGUAUGCGGUCAAGGCCCAGAAUCUCUGCCCAUCGCUUGAGGGCAUAUCCCAGAUGGCGUCGACUCUUGAAGUUCAUCUUGCAGCAGAGUCCAAGAUUGAUGGAGAGAGUGAUUGGUACCGGAUCUUGUCCCUGCCCGCCUUUGCAGAUGAAGAGGAUGUGAAGAAGCAGUACAGGAAGCUAGCUCUCCAGCUGCACCCUGAUAAGAACAAGUCAGUCGGUGCUGAGGAGGCCUUUAAACUGAUCUCUGAGGCGUGGAGUGUGUUGUCUGAUACUAGUCGGAAGGCAAUUUAUGAUCAGAAGAGGUCAGAUCAUUCUGUUGUCAACGUAACCAAUGGCAUGUAUACGUAUGACAAGAAGGCGACCAAGAGAGCUCGAAAGAAUGCUGCUGCUGCCGCCGCCGCCGCCGCUGCUGCUGCGGCUGCUGCUGAGGCUACUGCUCGUCCUGCUGGUGUUGAUACUUUCUGGACAUCUUGCAAUCGCUGCCGUAUGCAGUAUGAGUACUUAAGAAUGUAUCUUAAUCAUAACCUUCUGUGCCCAAACUGCCAUCAUGCGUUCAUGGCGGUAGAGACUGGAUUUCCUUGCAACGGAAGCAGUUCAUCUUUCUCCUGGUCAACCAAGCAGCAGCCACAGAACCACAGUUCCACCAAACAUUCAUAUGGCUCAACAAGCAGGACUUCUAGCAUUCCGGGGACAGGGCAUGUGGGGUAUCAGCAAGAUAGCACUUAUGAUUCCUACAACAGUCAAAGCUUUCAGUGGAAUCAGUACUCCAAGACAGCGCCUGCAGCUGACACAAAUGCUUACAGUACCCAGGCUUCCGAGAAACCUAGAAGAAAUGAAGAGAGCUACAGCUACAACUACCCUGAAAGUGGAAACACAUGUGACCCUGAGAGAACUACUUCAAGGCGUGGCCGGUUUGCAAAGCGGAGAAGGCAUAGUAAUGAUUAUACUACUGUGGAUUAUGCUGGAGAUAACAAAGAAACAGUGGUUGCAAGCACAGAGACAAAUGCUUUCACAGAUGUGGGGCGGGUUAAUGGCACUUCAGUGGAAAAGAUGAGAUCUGCAGUGAGUGUAAGGAGAGCCAAUGUUUUGAGAGAGAUCUCCCAGAUUGAUACACGGGGUCUACUUGUUGAGAAAGCCAAAGAAGCCGUCCGGGGAAAAUUGCAAGAGCUGAGCAUGGCAGCAUGUUCACGGUUUGCAGAGAAAAGAAAGUCAGAAGGAAAGGUAUAUCCUAGUGACAACAACAUAAAGGCAAAUGGGGUCCUCUCUGGCAAGCUUGGCAAAGGACUCAAGCUAUGCAGUUCAAUAAGUGUCGACACCCACGUACCUGCAACUGCAGCUGAUGAAAAGAAUCCAGAACAGAAGCGUGUGCCUGUUUCAAUUGAUGUCCCAGAUCCUGACUUCCAUGAUUUUGAUAAGGAUCGCACAGAGAGAGCUUUUUAUAGCGACCAAGUAUGGGCUACAUAUGACAGUGAGGAUGGAAUGCCUCGUCUAUAUGCAAUGGUGCAGAAAGUUCUUUCAAUGAGACCUUUCAGAAUCCGCAUGAGUUUCCUCAAUUCCAAAUCCAAUAUUGAACUGUCGCCAAUAAACUGGGUUGCCUCUGGUUUCCAGAAAACAUGUGGCGAUUUUAGGGUUGGAAGGUACCAGAUUACGGAAACAGUCAACAUAUUUUCGCACAAAGUCAGCUGGACUAAAGGCCCCCGUGGGAUUAUCAGAAUUAUUCCUCAGAAAGGUGAUACAUGGGCUUUGUACCGAGACUGGUCUCCUGAUUGGAACGAGCUUACACCUGAUGAUGUGAUAUAUAAAUACGAGAUUGUCGAAGUUAUUGAUGAUUUCACUGAGGAGCAAGGGCUGACUGUCAUUCCAUUGUUGAAGGUUGCUGGCUUCAAAGCUGUGUUCCAUAGGCACAUGGACCCCAAGGAGGUCAGGAGGAUACCAAAGGGUGAGCUGUUUCGUUUCUCGCAUCAGGUUCCUUCUCGACUGCUGACUGGUGAAGAAGGCAACAAUGCCCCGGAAGGUUGUCAUGAGCUCGAUCCUGCUGCAACCCCAGUGGACCUUCUUAAGGUUAUUACAGAGGUGAAUGAAGACGUGGCGGCACAGACUGCUGAAUAGAAGAGGGCAACAACUCUGAACACUGAAGAUAGCUUGGGUGUCUGAAGUGUGAAAUGGCAAGCAGCUUAUGUCGUGGACUUCUGACUGUUAAUUCUUAGGCAUUUCUAACACUCGGAGUUUAUCGCGCCAUGGAUAUCAUCUUCUAGAGUAAAAGAAGCAUUGGGAGGCGAUUGAUGCGGCGACUAGUCAAAGGAAAGCUAUGGAGCCUCAUGGCUUGCUGACGGCGUUACUCUGUUCAGGUAUGGUGUUGAGCAUAGGAGCCAUCAAGUUCGAGGGGGGAGACGCCACUGGACUUCCCCAUGUACCCAGAAAUUAUUAAUGUACCAAAUUUACCUAAGAUGUUGUAUUUCCUUUAAUCUAUAGCGAUGCGUCCUUAUAUAAUGUUGAACUCGAUGAUUUCAAAAUUCUGAUUUGAACUCGGUGAACUGGUUCGGCAAUUUAAUAUUAUAUUUAGUGGAAGCUUGCUCGUGGGCUUGUUCUCUUUCC